rnacentral:lncRNA from 1 species
UUCUAGCUGCUUUUAGCCACAUAGGUUAGUUUUAGAAUUCAUAAGUUGCUUGUUGGAAAUUGAGUGAAUUGAGUUGUGUCAAUGAAAUCUACUAUUGAAAUUCUUAGAGUUCAAGUUGGAAUUCUCUUGUCAAACUUCUUUUAUGGUGGUGAAAGUUCUGUUGAGAUCAGUCUUUGUCUGUUGGAUCAGUGUUUUGUGAUUUUAAUUCAAUCUAUGAAUUGUUGGUUGGGCCAUGUUUGGAAGUAAAUCAUGCAUUGUACACCAGUUAUCAUUGUGCUAGGACUGAGAAGUUCUUAAGCUUGUUUGUCGAAAUUUUGCCACUAUUUAUGGAAAAGUUUCUGGAGUAAAUUGAUAGCUGAAUAUCUCCUAGCUUGAACCUUGUUACCAUUGGUUUCCAGAGAUUGUCAUUGAGUUUAAUAGAGGGGAUUCAGUUGGACUAGAGAUCGAGCAGCUUUAAUUGUGAUUUUGUUGAGCAUACGGUAAGCUUAAUCUACCGAAAAUUGGUGUCUUUUGAGAUUGUGCUCGAGUUUAGCAGUGAUAGCUUGAAAUGUGGUUUCUACUCCUAAAAUGCUCUCCUUGUUGAAUUGAAUGCUCUUGUUACAUAAACUAUUGUCCUG